AGUGAACGCUGGCGGUAGGCCUAACACAUGCAAGUCGAACGGCAGCACAGUAAGAGCUUGCUCUUACGGGUGGCGAGUGGCGGACGGGUGAGGAAUACAUCGGAAUCUACUUUUUCGUGGGGGAUAACGUAGGGAAACUUACGCUAAUACCGCAUACGACCUACGGGUGAAAGCAGGGGAUCUUCGGACCUUGCGCGAUUGAAUGAGCCGAUGUCGGAUUAGCUAGUUGGCGGGGUAAAGGCCCACCAAGGCGACGAUCCGUAGCUGGUCUGAGAGGAUGAUCAGCCACACUGGAACUGAGACACGGUCCAGACUCCUACGGGAGGCAGCAGUGGGGAAUAUUGGACAAUGGGCGCAAGCCUGAUCCAGCCAUACCGCGUGGGUGAAGAAGGCCUUCGGGUUGUAAAGCCCUUUUGUUGGGAUAGAAAAGCAGCAGGUUAAUACCCCGCUGUUCUGACGGUACCCAAAGAAUAAGCACCGGCUAACUUCGU
rnacentral:rRNA from 1 species